AAGUUUUUGUGUUACAAAUAUAUCUUUUUAAAACAUUCAUUAUAAUUAAAAUUAAAGUAUGCAAACAAUACUUAUAACUAUAUUUUGGAUGAUUUGUAUAUUAUUAGCCAUGUAUUGUUGGUCUGGAAGUAUAUCUAAAGAUCAAGAUGGUGUUCAGAAUAAUAAUGUACCUAAAAUAGUAAUCGAUUUUAGUUCUGAUACGAAGCAAAGUACAUCUUCCAUUGAAUCUUUAGGACACUCAGAUAAUGAAGGUAGAAGAAAAUAUAUGCAAAAAUUAAAAUAUGAGAUUAAAACUCGGUGGCCGAGUACAACGUCCAUAAAAAAAUAAUUAUAUAAAAAUCAACUUAAGAUUAAUCACAUUCAUGAUCAAGGUCUACUUGUUGAUCUUUAUUGUUAAUGAUUUGAAAGACUACAGGAGAUACACUUAUUCCACAUAGAAGCUGGCGUUCGAUAUAUUUAUAAUGUCAAAAUAAGAUUAAAUAAACUGAAUUCAAGAAAAACAUAAUUGAUGAUAUCUUAUCACACUCUCUUGCUGUUACUGAUAUGAAAUAUGUGUUAUUAGAUCGUCCUAUGUCAUGUAUAUGACACAAAUUAUAUAUUAAACAUAAUAUAAAUUUUAUUACAUAUCUGUGUUCUAAAAUAUUGUUUUACUUAUAAAAACUUCAAUUAUAUAUAUUUAUUUGUAGUAGAGAGAUCACACACAUAUGUCUAGCAGUUCGAAAGAUAUAAUAUAUAAAUUUCUUUUUUAUUAUAUUUUUAUAUAAUUACUUCGAAAUUUUUCAAGGUUUUCACCAAACUAAAAUGUCUAUUAAUAAGCAAUAGUUGUAUCAUGAUAAAGAGAAAUACAUAAAUUAUAUAAACAAAAGAAAUUGUAAACAGACAUUGUCUAUAAAUUUAUUUGUACUAAGAAUAGUUUUAACAAAAAAACGAAUAAAGUAAUUCUACAAAUUAAAUAUUAAAUAAUUACAAAUUCACAGUGUGACGUCGUGCAUCUUGUACAUAUAUACAUAUAACAUUACAAAAUGAUAAUAAUUAAUGUUAAUUAAAAAUCGUUCUAAAUUAAUAAUGUAGAAUCUAAGAUUCUUUCGUAAAUUUGUCACUCUGUAUCACAUAUGCUUAAAUAAGGAUGUUUUUAAGGAUACACAUAUCGCGUUUGGUAAUCUUCCUAUCCUGUCUGUUGCAUAAUAAAUAUGUUAUUAACACAGAUAACACAUAUAAACUUUUGAAUAUCUAUUCUCUUUGGUCAGAUGUAGUUGUACCUUUAUUGCUUCAACUGCAUGACUUGAUAAGCACGAGCCGUGACUUGUCGAGUUCACUUUUUCACACAGUAAAUUACUCUUCUAAAAUAUAAGAAUAAUUUAAUUUACGCAUUUCAAACAACGUACUUUAGACAACAUAUGAAAGACUGAAAUCUGGUAGAAUGCAUUACAUACACGUAAAUGAAAAUAGGACAAUAAAAGAA